rnacentral:rRNA from 1 species
GGACCCGCACAAGCGGUGGAGCAUGUGGUUUAAUUCGAUGAUACGCGAGGAACCUUACCAGGGCUUAAAUGGAAAAUGACAGGGGCAGAGACGCCCCUUCUUCGGACAUUUUCAAGGUGCUGCAUGGUUGUCGUCAGCUCGUGCCGUGAGGUGUCAGGUUAAGUCCUAUAACGAGCGCAACCCCUACCGUUAGUGCCAGCGUGUAAUGACGGGGACUCUAACGGAACUGCCGGUGCAAACCGUGAGGAAGGUGGGGACGACGUCAAAUCAUCACGGCCCUUACGUCCUGGGCCACACACGUGCUACAAUGGUAGGUACAGAGGGAAGCCACCCCGCGAGGGGGAGCGGAUCUAUAAAACCUAUCUCAGUUCGGAUCGGAGUCUGCAACUCGACUCCGUG